rnacentral:misc_RNA from 1 species
AAGUCGUAACAAGGUCUCCGUUGGUGAACCAGCGGAGGGAUCAUUAUCGAGUUGCAAAACUCCAACCCUUUGUGAACAUACCUCAGUCGUUGCUUCGGCGGUGGACGGCCUGUUUUUCGGAACGGCCGGAAGCCGCCGGAGGUUUCAAACUCGUAUUUUUUUAGUGUAUCUCUGAGCCUGAAAACAAAUAAUCAAAACUUUCAACAACGGAUCUCUUGGUUCUG